AUUGAACGCUGGCGGCAUGCUUUACACAUGCAAGUCGAACGGUAACAGGGAGCUUGCUCCGCUGACGAGUGGCGAACGGGUGAGUAAUGCAUCGGAACGUACCCAGUCGUGGGGGAUAACGUAGCGAAAGUUACGCUAAUACCGCAUACGUCCUGAGGGAGAAAGCGGGGGACCGUAAGGCCUCGCGCGAUUGGAGCGGCCGAUGUCGGAUUAGCUAGUUGGUGGGGUAAAGGCCUACCAAGGCGACGAUCCGUAGCGGGUCUGAGAGGAUGAUCCGCCACACUGGGACUGAGACACGGCCCAAACUCCUACGGGGGGCAGCAGUGAGGAAUAUUCGGCAAUGGGGGCAACCCUGACCGAGCAACGCCGCGUGGAGGAUGACGGUUUUCGGAUUGUAAACUCCUUUUCUCAGGGAAGAGCGAGGACGGUACCUGGGGAAUAAGUCACGGCUAACUACGUG
rnacentral:rRNA from 1 species